rnacentral:rRNA from 1 species
CAGCCGCCGCGGGAAUACGUAGGGUGCAAGCGUUGUCCGGAAUUAUUGGGCGUAAAGAGCUCGUAGGCGGUUUGUCGCGUCUGCUGUGAAAUCCCGAGGCUCAACCUCGGGCUUGCAGUGGGUACGGGCAGACUAGAGUGCGGUAGGGGAGAUUGGAAUUCCUGGUGUAGCGGUGGAAUGCGCAGAUAUCAGGAGGAACACCGAUGGCGAAGGCAGAUCUCUGGGCCGUAACUGACGCUGAGGAGCGAAAGCGUGGGGAGCGAACAGGAUUAGAGACCCCUGUAGUCCCUGUCUCUUAUAC